UUCCGGUUGAUCCUGCCGGACCCGACUGCUAUCAGAGUAGGACUAAGCCAUGCGAGUCGACGUAGCAAUGCGUGGCGAACGGCUCAGUAACACGUAGUCAACAUGCCCAAGGGACGUGGAUAACCUCGGGAAACUGAGAAUAAACCACGAUAGGUCAUGAUUUCUGGAAUGGAUCAUGGCUCAAAUCUACAUGGCCCCUGGAUUGGACUGCGGCCGAUCAGGCAGUUGGUGAGGUAAAGGCCCACCAAACCUAUAACCGGUACGGGCUCUGAGAGGAGAAGCCCGGAGAUGGGCACUGAGACAAGGGCCCAGGCCCUAUGGGGCGCAGCAGGCGCGAAACCUCUGCAAUAGGCGAAAGCCUGACAGGGUUACUCUGAGUGAUUUCCGCUAAGGGGAUCUUUUGGCACCUCUAAAAAUGGUGCAGAAUAAGGGGUGGGCAAGUCUGGUGUCAGCCGCCGCGGUAAUACCAGCACCCCGAGUGGUCGGGACGAUUAUUGGGCCUAAAGCAUCCGUAGCCGGUUCUGCAAGUCUUCCGUUAAAUCCAGCCGCUCAACGGAUGGGCCGCGGAGGAUACUACAGGACUAGGAGGCGGGAGAGGCAAGCGGUACUCAGUGGGUAGGGGUAAAAUCCUUUGAUCCAUUGAAGACCACCAGUGGCGAAGGCGGCUUGCCAGAACGCGCUCGACGGUGAGGGAUGAAAGCUGGGGGAGCAAACCGGAUUAGAUACCCGGGUAGUCCCAG
rnacentral:rRNA from 1 species